UGCAGCACCCACCAGAAGGGCAGGAGGGUCCUGAGGCUCCUUUUCCUGCUGCUUCCCGUCCUGUCUGCUGUUGUCUACUGCUGGGGCUCAACGGUGUGGGGAAAGGGAGCGUUGCGGUCUCCUUAGCGCCUGGAUCGAGUUCAACACAGAGACGGAUCUUCCCGAGUGACCUCCGCAGGGUGGCAGGCUGAAGCGGGGAGCACUUUGGCAGAAGGUGCCUUUGCUGCCUGCAUAGCUCUCGGAGAGCCUGGGGGGUCAGACGGAGGCCCGCAAGAUGCUCUGCUGAACGUGGCUGGUUAAAGAGCCCAACCUUCGGGUCAGGGUCUCUCUAAAGCGACUCGAAGCAGCAGGAAAUUCUGCCAGCUCUCCCUAGGGGAGUCUCCUUUGGGAAGCCCUGGCAGUGCUCCUCGUGCUUGCUCCAGUGGAGUGUCUUUAUCUUGCAGAAGAUGUCAGGACUGCCUGAAGAGGAGCUGCAGUCUCGAGGGU